rnacentral:rRNA from 1 species
UACGUAGGGGCCAAGCAUUGUCCGGAAUUAUUGGGCGUAAAGAGCUCGUAGGCGGUUCGAUAAGUCGACGGUGAAAUCUCCACGCUCAACGUGGAGGGGUCCGUCGGUACUGUCGUGACUCGAGUCCGGUAGGGGAGUGUGGAAUUCCCGGUGUAGCGGUGAAAUGCGCAGAGAUCGGGAGGAACACCCGUAGCGAAGGCGGCACUCUGGGCCGGUACUGACGCUGAGGAGCGAAAGCGUGGGGAGCAAACAGG